rnacentral:rRNA from 1 species
GUGCCAGCCGCCGCGGUAAUACGUAGGGGGCUAGCGUUGUCCGGAAUCAUUGGGCGUAAAGCGCGCGUAGGCGGCCCGGUAAGUCCGCUGUGAAAGUCAAAGGCUCAACCUUUGAAUGUCAGCGGAUACUGCCGGGCUAGAGUCCGGAAGAGGCGAGUGGAACUCCUGGUGUAGCGGUGGAAUGCGCAGAUAUCAGGAAGAACACCAACGGCGAAGGCAGCUCGCUGGGACGGAACUGACGCUAAGGCGCGAAAGCGUGGGGAGCGAACAGGAUUAGAUACCCUGGUAGUCC